CCCGCUGAACUUAAGCAUAUCAAUAAGCGGAGGAAAAGAAACUAACAAGGAUUCCCCUAGUAACUGCGAGUGAAGCGGGAAAAGCUCAAAUUUAAAAUCUGGUGGUCUUUGGCCGUCCGAGUUGUAAUUUAGAGAAGCGUCUUCCGCGCCGGACCGUGCACAAGUCUCCUGGAAUGGAGCGUCAUAGAGGGUGAGAAUCCCGUCUUUGGCACGGAUGCCCGGUGCUUCUGUGAUGCGCUCUCGAAGAGUCGAGUUGUUUGGGAAUGCAGCUCAAAAUGGGUGGUGAACUCCAUCUAAAGCUAAAUAUUGGCGAGAGACCGAUAGCGAACAAGUACCGUGAGGGAAAGAUGAAAAGCACUUUGGAAAGAGAGUGAAACAGUACGUGAAAUUGUUGAAAGGGAAACGCUUGAAGUCAGUCGCGUCGACCGAGACUCAGCCUUGCCUCGGCUUGGUGUACUUCUCGGCCCGACGGGUCAGCAUCAAUUUUGCCCCUCGGAUAAUGGCAAGGGAAAGGUGGCACCUUUGCGGGUGUGUUAUAGUCUCCUGUCGCAUGCGAGGGGUGGGAUUGAGGAACUCAGCGUGCACCUUGGUGUCGGGGCUUCGGCCCACGUCACGCGCUUAGGAUGCUGGCGUAAUGGCUUUAAACGACCCGUCUUGAAACACGG
rnacentral:rRNA from 1 species